GCAGAGCGAGCCAUGGAACACCAAGAUAUUAUGUUAAAGGAACACUCAGCUAUUCUGGUUUUAGAGAACGUAGUGACAGCUUCUUAGGGUGACCCAAGCUGAGUGUGACUUCCUAUCUGAGGCUAAAAGACAGCUGGGUACCACCACACUGUCCAUCUGUGUGCAACUUGGUCCUCUGGUUAUGGUUGGAAUCAACAUGCAAAACCUCCAUGAGGAAGAGAGGCAAGAACGAUUCAUCUGCAGCUCAGGGACAAGCUACACUAUUAACAGCCCUGCGUAAUGUUCAAUGUAACUGCAUUGAUGGACUUUUUUUAACUUAAUGUAUUUGUAUUGUUAAAAAAAGAGAAAAAAAUGGGAAUGUAUGGUUUAAA